rnacentral:lncRNA from 1 species
GCAGCAUGAAGGAUAAAGAGAAGAAAAAUGAGAAGAGAUGAUAUGAGAUACUUUUGCUUUUGAAGAAGUAACUUUCCACAGGCUUAUUCUUGAACUGAGCUGGAGGGUUUUCUGGUUUCCUCCAGAGUAUAAGGCCGACUGAAGAAUUUGAGGGUCAAAACAAGUCCAUCAAAUCUAGAGUACGUUCGACCCUGCUGAUAUGGGAU